UGGGGAAUAUUGCACAAUGGAGAGAACUCUGAUGCAGCGACGCCGCGUGAACGAAGAAGGCUUUCGAGUCGUAAAGUUCUUUUAUAUGGGAAGAUAAUGACGGUACCAUAAGAAAAAGCCCCGGCUAACUACGUGCCAGCAGCCGCGGUAAUACGUAGGGGGCUAGCGUAGUCCGGAAUCACUGGGCGUAAAGGGUUCGCAGGCGGAAAUGCAAGUCAGGUGUAAAAGGCAGUAGCUUAACUACUGUAAGCAUUUGAAACUGCAUAUCUUGAGAAGAGUAGAGGUAAGUGGAAUUUUUAGUGUAGCGGUGAAAUGCGUAGAUAUUAAAAAGAAUACCGGUGGCGAAGGCGACUUACUGGGCUCAUUCUGACGCUGAGGAACGAAAGCGUGGGUAGCAAACAGG
rnacentral:rRNA from 1 species